rnacentral:rRNA from 1 species
GAUGAACGCUAGCGGCAGGCUUAAUACAUGCAAGUCGAGGGGCAGCAUGAUUGUAGCAAUACAAUUGAUGGCGACCGGCAAACGGGUGCGGAACACGUACACAACCUCCCAAUAAGUGGGGAAUAGCCCAGAGAAAUUUGGAUUAAUACCCCGUAACAUAACGAUGUGGCAUCACAUUGUUAUUAUAGAUUUUUCGCUUAUUGAUGGGUGUGCGGCUGAUUAGAUAGUUGGCGGGGUAACGGCCCACCAAGUCUACGAUCAGUAGCUGAUGUGAGAGCAUGAUCAGCCACACGGGCACUGAGACACGGGCCCGACUCCUACGGGAGGCAGCAGUAAGGAAUAUUGGACAAUGGACGCAAGUCUGAUCCAGCCAUGCCGCGUGAAGGAUUAAGGUCCUCUGGAUUGUAAACUUCUUUUAUAAGGGACGAAAAAAGGCUUUUCUAAGUCGUCUGACGGUACCUUAUGAAUAAGCACCGGCUAACUCCGUGCCAGCAGCCGCCGCGGUAA